AGCGAAAUUCCUUGUCGGGUAAGUUCCGACCUGCAUGAAUAGUGUAACGACUUCUCCACUGUCUCCACUACGAACUCAGUGAAAUUGAAUUAUCCGUGAAGAUGCGGAUACUCUACGGCUAGACGAUAAGACCCCGUGCACCUUUACUUCAUCUUUAUAUUGCUUUUAAAAAUAAAAUGUGUAGCAUAGGUGGGAGCUAGUUUACUAGCAUUAGUGAAAUACCACCCUUUUUAUUUUUUAUAGCUAACUUAAUAAAUAGAACAGUAUAUGGUUGGUAGUUUAACUGGGGCGGUUUCCUCCUAAAGAGUAACGGAGGAGUACAAAGGUAAAUUCAAACUGGUAGAAAUCAGUUUUAGAGCGCAAUGGUAUAAAUUUGCUUAACUGUAAGACUGACAAGUCAAACAGAAACUUUAGUAUAAGUUGGUCAUAGUGAUCCGGUGAUUUUGUAUGGAAAAGUCAUCGCUCAACGGAUAAAAGGUACGCCGGGGAUAACAGGCUAAUGACUCUUGAGAGCUCCUAUCGACGGAGUUGUUUGGCACCUCGAUGUCGGCUCAUCUCAUCCUGGGGCUGGAGCAGGUCCCAAGGGUUUGGCUGUUCGCCAAUGAAAGUGGUACGUGAGCUGGGUUCAGACCGUCGUGAGACAGGUCGGUCCCUAUCUGCCGUGGGCGUUCGAAUCUUGAUGGGAUUCAACUUUAGUACGAGAGGAUUUAGUUGGACGAAGCUCUGGUGUACCAGUUGUCGCGCUAGCGGCACGGCUGGAUAGCUAACUUCGGAAAGGAUAAACGCUGAAAGCAUCUAAGCGUGAAGCCCGCCCAGAGAUUAGGAUUCGUAGACAAUAGUCGAAAGCCCCCUGGAAGACUACCAGGUUGAUAGGUUGGACGUGUAAGUGCAGUAAUGCAUUAAGCAAACCAAUACUAACGGGCGAAAGUU
rnacentral:rRNA from 1 species